UACGUAGGGGGCUAGCGUUGUCCGGAAUCAUUGGGCGUAAAGAGCGUGUAGGCGGCCUUUUAAGUCCUGCGUGAAAUCCUGCGGCUCAACCGCAGACGGUCGUGGGAAACUGGAAGGCUAGAGUGCGGGAGGGGCGAGUGGAAUUCCUGGUGUAGCGGUGAAAUGCGCAGAUAUCAGGAGGAACACCAAUGGCGAAGGCAGCUCGCUGGAACGGUACUGACGCUGAGGCGCGAAAGCGUGGGGAGCGAACAGG
rnacentral:rRNA from 1 species